UAAGCAUAUCAAUAAGCGGAGGAAAAGAAACCAACAGGGAUUGCCCUAGUAACGGCGAGUGAAGCGGCAACAGCUCAAAUUUGAAAUCUGGCUCUUUCAGAGUCCGAGUUGUAAUUUGCAGAGGGCGCUUUGGCUUUGGCAGCGGUCCAAGUUCCUUGGAACAGGACGUCACAGAGGGUGAGAAUCCCGUACGUGGUCGCUAGCUAUUGCCGUGUAAAGCCCCUUCGACGAGUCGAGUUGUUUGGGAAUGCAGCUCUAAAUGGGAGGUAAAUUUCUUCUAAAGCUAAAUAUUGGCCAGAGACCGAUAGCGCACAAGUAGAGUGAUCGAAAGAUGAAAAGCACUUUGGAAAGAGAGUCAAACAGCACGUGAAAUUGUUGAAAGGGAAGCGCUUGCAGCCAGACUUGCUUGCAGUUGCUCAUCCGGGCUUUUGCCCGGUGCACUCUUCUGCAGGCAGGCCAGCAUCAGUUUGGGCGGUGGGAUAAAGGUCUCUGUCAUGUACCUCUCUUCGGGGAGGCCUUAUAGGGGAGGCGACAUACCACCAGCCUAGACUGAGGUCCGCGCAUCUGCUAGGAUGCUGGCGUAAUGGCUGUAAGCGGCCCGUCUUGAAACACGGACCAAGGAGUCUAACAUCUAUGCGAGUGUUUGGGUGUCAAGCCCGAGCGCGUAAUGAAAGUGAACGGAGGUGGGAACCCGCAAGGGUGCACCAUCGACCGAUCCUGAAGUUUACGGAAGGAUUUGAGUAAGAGCAUGGCUGUUGGGACCCGAAAGAUGGUGAACUAUGCUUGAAUAGGGUGAAGCCAGAGGAAACUCUGGUGGAGGCUCGCAGCGGUUCUGACGUGCAAAUCGAU
rnacentral:rRNA from 1 species